GAUGAACGCUGGCGGUAUGCUUAACACAUGCAAGUUGAACGAAGAUAAUAAUUCUUGAAUUAUAAUACUUAGUAGCGGACGGGUGAGUAACGCGUAAGAAUCUACCUUUAGGAAAAGAAUAACAACUGGAAACGGUUGCUAAUACUUUAUACGCUGAGAAGUUAAAUAGGUUACUGCCUAAAGAUGAGCUUGCGUCUGAUUAGCUAGUUGGUAAGGUAAAAGCUUACCAAGGCAAUUAUCAGUAGUUGGUCUGAGAGGAUGAUCAGCCACACUGGGACUGAGACACGGCCCAG
rnacentral:rRNA from 1 species